CGCGUGAGCAACGUGCCCGUAUGUGGGGGAUAGUCAUUGGAAACGAUGCGUAAUACCCCGUAACACAUUUGACCGCAUGGUCAAAUGUUGAAAGAUUGAUUGCAUACGGAUCGGCUCGCGUGCCAUUAGGUAGACGGCGGGGUAACGGCCCACCGUGCCGACGAUGGCUAGGGGUUCUGAGAGGAAGGUCCCCCACAUUGGAACUGAGACACGGUCCAGACUCCUACGGGAGGCAGCAGUGAGGAAUAUUGGACAAUGGCCGGAAGGCUGAUCCAGCCAUGCCGCGUGCGGGAAGACGGCCCUAUGGGUUGUAAACCGCUUUUGCGAGGGAGCAAUAAGGUCCACGUGUGGGCCGAUGAGAGUACCUUGCGAAUAAGCAUCGGCUAACUCCGUGCCAGCAGCCGCGGUAAUACGGAGGAUGCGAGCGUUAUCCGGAUUUAUUGGGUUUAAAGGGUGCGCAGGCGGCUUGUUAAGCGGGAGGUGAAAUGCCGGCGCUCAACGUCGGAAGUGCCUCCCGAACUGGUGAGCUUGAAUGACUCUGCCGUGGGAGGAAUGUGUAGUGUAGCGGUGAAAUGCUUAGAGAUUACACAGAACACCGAUUGCGAAGGCAUCUCACGAAGGGUUGAUUGACGCUGA
rnacentral:rRNA from 1 species